AUUGAACGCUGGCGGCAGGCCUAACACAUGCAAGUCGAACGAGCGGCGGACGGGUGAGUAAUGUAUGGGAAACUGCCUGAUGGAGGGGGAUAACUACUGGAAACGGUAGCUAAUACCGCAUACCAUCGGAUGUACCCAUAUGGGAUUAGCUAGUUGGUGGGGUAAAGGCUCACCAAGGCGACGAUCUCUAGCUGGUCUGAGAGGAUGACCAGCCACACUGGGACUGAGACACGGCCCAGACUCCUACGGGAGGCAGCAGUGGGGAAUAUUGCACAAUGGGCGCAAGCCUGAUGCAGCCAUGCCGCGUGUAUGAAGAAGGCCUUAGGGUUGUAAAGUACUUUCAGCGGGGAGGCGUUACCCGCAGAAGAAGCACCGGCUAACUCCGUGCCAGCCGCCGCGGUAAUUC
rnacentral:rRNA from 1 species